AGAGUUUGAUCAUGGCUCAGGAUGAACGCUGGCGGCGUGCUUAAUACAUGCAAGUCGAACGGAGACAGUAGCAAUAUUGUCUUAGUGGCGAACGGGUGAGUAACGCGUUGGUGACCUGCCUCGAAGAGAGGGAUAACAGUUCGAAAGGAUUGCUAAUACCUCAUGUGGUUGUUUGGGUUAGAGACCUUGCAACUAAACGGAUUUAUUCGCUUCGAGAGGGGCCUGCGUCCCAUCAGCUAGUUGGUAAGGUAAAGGCCUACCAAGGCGAUGACGGGUAGGGGACCUGAGAGGGUGGCCCCCCACAAUGGAACUGAAACACGGUCCAUACACCUACGGGUGGCAGCAGUAGGGAAUAUUGGUUAAUCUGGGAAACCGGGAACCAGCAACGCCGCGUGCGCGAUGAAGGCCUUCGGGUUGUAAAGCGCUUUUAGAGAGGAUGAGGAAGGACAGUACUCUCUGAAUAAGCCUCGGCUAACUACGUGCCAGCAGCCGCGGUAAAACGUAGGAGGCGAGCGUUAUCCGGAUUUACUGGGCGUAAAGCGCGUGUAGGCGGUUUGAUAAGUUGGAUGUGAAAGCUCCUGGCUUAACUGGGAGAGGUCGUUCAAAACUGUCAGACUUGAGAGUGGUAGAGGGAGGUGGAAUUCCGGGUGUAGUGGUGAAAUGCGUAGAUAUCCGGAGGAACACCAGUGGCGAAAGCGGCCUCCUGGACCAUUUCUGACGCUCAGACGCGAAAGCUAGGGUAGCAAACGGGAUUAGAGACCCCGGUAGUCCUAGCUGUAAACGAUGUGAACUUGGCGUCGUGGGUUCAAAUCCAUCGGUGCC
rnacentral:rRNA from 1 species